UACGUAGGGGGCAAGCGUUGUCCGGAUUUAUUGGGCGUAAAGAGCGUGUAGGCGGCCAGACAAGUCUGCUGUGAAAACUCGAGGCUCAACCUCGAGCUGUCGGUGGAAACUGUCUGGCUAGAGUCCGGAAGAGGAGAGUGGAAUUCCUGGUGUAGCGGUGAAAUGCGCAGAUAUCAGGAGGAACACCGAUGGCGAAGGCGCACAUCUGGCCCGAUACUGACGCUGAGGCGCGAAAGCUAGGGGAGCAAACGGG
rnacentral:rRNA from 1 species